UACGGAGGGGGCUAGCGUUAUUCGGAAUUACUGGGCGUAAAGCGUGCGCAGGCGGUUUUGUAAGUCUGUCGUGAAAGCCCCGGGCUCAACCUGGGAAUUGCGAUGGAGACUGCAAGGCUUGAAUCUGGCAGAGGGGGGUAGAAUUCCACGUGUAGCAGUGAAAUGCGUAGAGAUGUGGAGGAACACCGAUGGCGAAGGCAGCCCCCUGGGUCAAGAUUGACGCUCAUGCACGAAAGCGUGGGGAGCGAACAGG
rnacentral:rRNA from 1 species